UAUUGCCCAAUGGGCGAAAGCCUGAUGCAGCAACGCCGCGUGAAGGAAGACGGUUUUCGGAUNGUAAACUUCUAUCAAUAGGGAANNCANNNANGACGGUACCUAAAUAAGAAGCCCCGGCUAACUACGUNNNANCNGCCGCGGUAAUACGUAGGGGGCAAGCGUUAUCCGGAAUUACUGGGUGUAAAGGGAGAGUAGGCGGCAAGGUAAGCGAUAUGUGAAAGCCUUAAGCUUAACUUAAGGAUGGCAUAACGAACUAGCUAGCUAGAGUACAGGAGAGGAAAGCGGAAUUCCUAGUGUAGCGGUGAAAUGCGUAGAUAUUAGGAAGAACACCAGUGGCGAAGGCGGCUUUCUGGACUGAAACUGACGCUGAGGCUCGAAAGCGUGGGGAGCGAACAGG
rnacentral:rRNA from 1 species